CCCACUAUAGUCCAGUGGUAGAACCUCACGCACGUUCAGCUCUCAUCGUAGGUCGGAGGUUCGAAUCCUCCUAGUGGCG